CGCGUAGGUGGUAGUGCAAGUCUGAGGUGGAAUCUUAGGGCUUAACCCUAAAAUUGCCUUGGAAACUGCAUUACUUGAGUCAGUGAGGGGAGGGUAAAAUUCCUGGUGUAGCGGUGAAAUGCGUAGAUAUCAGGAGGAAGGCCGGUGGCGAAGGCGGCCCUCUGGCGCUGAACUGACACUGAGGCGCGAAAGCGUGGGGAGCAAACAGGAUUAGAUACCCUGGUAGUCCACGCCCUAAACGGUGGGUACUAGGUGUAGGGCUCGUAAGGGUUCUGUGCCGAAGCGAAAGCAUUAAGUACCCCGCCUGGGGAGUACGGCCGCAAGGUUGAA
rnacentral:rRNA from 1 species